GACGAACGCUGGCGGCGUGCUUAACACAUGCAAGUCGAACGGAAAGGCCCUGCUUUUGUGGGGUGCUCGAGUGGCGAACGGGUGAGUAACACGUGAGUAACCUGCCCUUGACUUUGGGAUAACUUCAGGAAACUGGUGCUAAUACCGGAUAGGAGCUCCUGCUGCAUGGUGGGGGUUGGAAAGUUUCGGCGGUUGGGGAUGGACUCGCGGCUUAUCAGCUUGUUGGUGGGGUAGUGGCUUACCAAGGCUUUGACGGGUAGCCGGCCUGAGAGGGUGACCGGCCACAUUGGGACUGAGAUACGGCCCAGACUCCUACGGGAGGCAGCAGUGGGGAAUAUUGCACAAUGGGCGGAAGCCUGAUGCAGCAACGCCGCGUGCGGGAUGACGGCCUUCGGGUUGUAAACCGCUUUCGCCUGUGACGAAGCGUGAGUGACGGUAAUGGGUAAAGAAGCAACGGCUAACUACGUG
rnacentral:rRNA from 1 species